rnacentral:rRNA from 1 species
GACGAACGCUGGCGGCGCGCUUAACACAUGCAAGUCGAGCGAGGCAGCGGACGGGUGCGUAACACGUGAGUAACCUGGCUUAGACAUUGAGAUAGCCUCGGGAAACCGGGAAUCAUACCAAAUGGUCUCAGCUGGACUCGCGUCCCAUUAGCUAGAUGGUGAGGUAAAGGCCCACCAAGGCGACGAGGGGUAGCCGGCCUGAGAGGGUGACCGGCAACAUUGGAACGGAGAGACGGUCCAAGCUCUACGGGAGGCAGCAGUGGGGAAUAUUGCACAAUGGAGGGAACUCUGAGGCAGCGACGCCGCGUGGGGGAUGAAGGCUGUCGGGUUUUAAACCUCUUUCGCUAUCGAACGGUUAGGUGGAGAAGAAGCGCCGGCUAACUACGUGCCAGCAGCCGCGGUAAUUC